AAGUCGUAACAAGGUUUCCGUAGGUGAACCUGCGGAAGGAUCAUUAAUGAAAUGCAAGGACGCUCUUUUUAGAGGUCCAACCCAUUUGAUUUUCUCACACUGUGCACACACUACCUUUACACCUUUUUAAACACAAGUCAUUAGAAUGCAAUCAAGUCUCGUAAUAGAGCAUAAAGUUAAUACAA
rnacentral:misc_RNA from 1 species